UUAUGCUUUUUAGAGGAGGAAUGAAUGAACCUUCAGAGCCAGAGGAGGAGGUGAUGCGAUGCUGGAAGUAGAGAAGGGAGUGUUGCACUUUGAAGGUGCAGUUGAGGGCACAGGCAGAUGAGCUCAGGGGAACCUAGAAGCUAAAAAAGGUUACUUUUGGUGUUUGUUCCAUCAGAUCCUACUAAGAAUAAAUAACCUGAAAUGCAGCUCUACUAAGAUAACUCAAUGAAAUAUCCACUGGAAGCCUCUGGGCAAGAGGGAUCAAUACGAAGACAGUAACAAUCCUAAAAAACAGAAGUUGGGAAAGUUUUAGAAUUUAACUCAAUUUUAUUUUAGUACCCAGCUACCAAGGUUCAUUUUAUUAUUCUUAUCUCUUCCUAUGUUCAGUUGUACAAGCAUUGGAAUAUGUUUCAGGUUAAUGGCCCCCAUCCCUGACCCCCUGUCAAAGAACAACAACAAAAAAAUAGAGACAAGUUGGAUCUGUUCAGAUAUUCUUGUACUUGGGUUGAAGGAACUAAUAUUGUUUGAAAACAUACUUGGCAUCAUGCACGUGCUAGAUUCUUUGUUCUGCAACUGAAUUUUAGUCCUAGAAUAAUAUUUUUUGGUUAAACAUGAUUAUCCUUAGAUACAUUAUGCAAUGCACAACAUACUGUACUACAAAAUGACCUUGUUUGAAUGGUAGAAAAGAUACUCUGCUAGCUUUGGCUGUGGACUACUCAAUUUUAAUGCAGAGCAUAAUAGAGGUGAUAUAAAUUUGAGAGAGUUUAAAAUUACAGUACUUAUAUUC